GGAGCGGUGGCAGAGUGGACGAAUGCACCGGUCUUGAAAACCGGCGACCUGCAAGGGUCCGAGGGUUCGAAUCCCUCCCGCUCCG
rnacentral:tRNA from 1 species